rnacentral:rRNA from 1 species
UACAGGGGGUGGCAAACGUUGCUCGGAAUCAUUGGGCGUAAAGCGCAACGUAGGCGGUCUGUUAUGUCGGAUGUGAAAGCCCUUGGCUUAACUGAGGAAGUGCAUCCGAAACUGGCAGGCUAGAGUACUAAAGAGGGUCGCGGAAUUCCCGGUGUAGAGGUGAAAUUCGUAGAUAUCGGGAGGAACACCGGUGGCGAAGGCGGCGACCUGGGUAGAUACUGACGCUGAGGUGCGAAAGCGUGGGGAGCGAACAGG